rnacentral:rRNA from 1 species
CUCAUUCCGGUUGAUCCUGCCGGAGGCCAUUGCUAUUGGGAUCCGAUUUAGCCAUGCUAGUCGCACGAGUUC